GAUGAACGCUGGCGGCGUGCUUAACACAUGCAAGUCGAACGAUUAACCCUUCUUCGGAAGGUCAUAAAGUGGCGAACGGGUGAGUAACACGUGACCAACCUGCCUCUCACAUUGGGAUAACUUAGAGAAAUCUAAGCUAAUACCAAAUACUCUUGAUCUUUCGCAUGACGGAUCAAGGAAAGCUUUCGCGGUGAGAGAUGGGGUCGCGGCCCAUUAGGUAGUUGGUGGGGUAGAGGCCUACCAAGCCGAUGAUGGGUAGCCGGGUUGAGAGACCGACCGGCCACAUGGGGACUGAGAUACGGACCAGACUCCUACGGGAGGCAGCAGUGGGGAAUUUUGCGCAAUGGGCGAAAGCCUGACGCAGCAACGCCGCGUGCGGGAUGACGGCCUUCGGGUUGUAAACCGCUUUCAGUGGGAAAGAUAAUGACGGUACCCACACAAGAAGCUCCGGCUAAAUACGUGCCAGCCGCCGCGGUAAAAC
rnacentral:rRNA from 1 species